AUUGAUAUUUGUUUAUUAAAUGAGACCUGGCAUAAAGAUAAAAAUACAAUUUAAAGAAUUUUUAUCUUUAAGCUAUUUUAUUAAAUUUUGUAUCGCUAUCAUAACUUUCACUGUUACUGUGUCCCAUUAUCAAACUAUCA
rnacentral:pre_miRNA from 1 species